GACGAACGCUGGCGGCGUGCUUAACACAUGCAAGUCGAACGGAAAGGCCCUGCUUUUGUGGGGUGCUCGAGUGGCGAACGGGUGAGUAACACGUGAGUAACCUGCCCUUGACUUUGGGAUAACUUCAGGAAACUGGGGCUAAUACCGGAUAGGAGCUCCUGCUGCAUGGUGGGGGUUGGAAAGUUUCGGCGGUUGGGGAUGGACUCGCGGCUUAUCCGCUUGUUGGUGGGGUAGUGGCUUACCAAGGCUUUGACGGGUAGCCGGCCUGCGAGGGUGACCGGCCACAUUGGGACUGCGAUGCGGCCCAGACUCCUACGGGAGGCAGCAGUGGGGAAUAUUACACAAUGGGCGGAAGCCUGAUGCAGCAACGCCGCGUGCGGGAUGACGGCCUUCGGUUUGUAAACCGCUUUCGCCUGUGACGAAGCGUGAGUGACGGUAAUGGGUAAAGAAGCACCGGCUAACUACGUG
rnacentral:rRNA from 1 species